GGCCUGAGUCCGGACCUGGCCGCCUGGGUUUGGCACGCUGCAGCUGCAAGCACUUGGACUCCGGGGCAGCCUUCUGGAGGGGAUCCAUGCAGCCUCCUUUACCCAACAACCCUAAGGAAGAACUCAGGGAACACAACUUCCUGGGGCUAAGCUGGAAAACAUUUGAGUAACACUGGAUCUGCAGCAUCCAAAACCAUUCCACACAGACCCCCCAGACUAUUUCUGGAAUGCCCUGUGUCCUCUUCCAUCUGGGAACUAAGGCCCCCACCCAGGUGGCGAAUGGUAACUUCAGGCUAAGCACAAGAUUCCUGGAGCACUGGCCCUGUUACCACCAACCAAUCAGAAGAAAGUCAUACACCCUACAGCCCUCACCCCAAAUUUUGCCUAUUAAAAAUUCUCCCUGAAAACGUUUGGGCAAUCUGAAAUUUUUUAAGAGCAUGAACUACCCAUUCUCCUU